GGUAGCGUAAUCAUUUGUUUAAUAAUUUUAAACUAGAAUGAAAGGAACAAAGUAUACUAACUGUUAAUUAAAAUUUAACAUAAAUCUUUGGCUGAGUGCAAAAACUUAGAAUAAAAAUAUAAACGAGAAGACCCUGGGAAUUUUAAUAUUUUUAUUGGGAUAAUAUAAAACCAUACUUAGCUAAGCAACAAAUAACAUUAAUAAAAAGAAAUUACCCCAGGGAUAACAGCACAAUAGUCAUUAAGAGACCUAAUCUCAGUGAUUGAUUAUGACCUCGAUGUUGAAUCAUUUGUACAUAUAGUUUGCAGAAGAAUUUUAUUCUCGUCUGUUCGACGAUAGACAUUACGUGA
rnacentral:rRNA from 1 species